CUCCCUUUUCGAAACGUUUUGAAAGACAAUGAAACCAUCCCAAUGGAAUAUUAUUGAAGCCCUGGUUGAAAAAGCCCCUAAAGAUUUAUGUUAUACAACGUUUGACAUGUUUGAACGAACUUAAAUAUAUUUUUUUUGCUCAUUCCUGACGACAAGUCAGACGCACACGGUACAUUUUCACUAGCCUUCGGAGCGCGCUAACGCUAUUGGGACAUAAAUUAUUAACUUUUUUGAACAAACCUACAUUUGUUAUGGACCUGGGAUUCCUAGAAGUGCCUUCUGAUAAAGAUAAUCAAAGCAAUCGGCCACUAUUGCCAAGGAAGAGGAGGAGGAAGAUGAGAGGAAGUACAGCGAGGUGGGGGAUAUUCUCGCUGACCUGAAGAGGAGUCACAGUAGACAUAGUCCUUCAGAGCAUCGGGGGAGAGGGGGGGGGCAAGAGCUAUAGGAGCCUCACCCCCAGGGGCAGAGUUAUGGGAGCCUCACCCUGCCUCUGGUGAUGAGUCCUGGGUAUGACUACAGCACUGUCUACCUCCCCAGUCGGCAGCCCCAGAGACCGAGUUACAGAGGCCUUGCCCAGAGAGAGACGUCUAUAAAUGCACAACAAAGGAAUGUGGAUGCCAACGCUGGCCACCCUAGUAUUGACCACCAAGAGGAGGGCUAUGGAAAAGCCCCCUUCCCCAGCAGGGAGCCCCAGAGUGGGUCUUUUGAAAAGGAGUGUCUUGCCCUUCCUGUAGUAACAGUGCCCGGGAAUGGUGACAGUAAUGUUGCCUUUCAAAGGGAGACCUAUGGAAGCGCCCCCCACCCCAGGAUCAGAAAUCAAGUAGAGAGCAAUGGAAGAGAUGCCCUGCCCGGCAUGAAGGAGCAGAGUGGGUGCUAUGGAGGUCUUUGCCCUCGUAGAGUGGCAGAGCUAGGGGAGGCCUAUGGAAGACAAAUCCUGCCCAAUACCCACCUCCAACAGGGCCUCUCCAAAGCCUCUACCACCACUGCUCCGAUUCAAAGACAGGCUCCCUAAGGAGUCACAUCAGUAACAAUGAGUUGUGUGGAGAAACCAGGUUCUGGCAUGGCAAAGACUACUGCAACUUCAUUUUCAAAGAAUUGGUCAAGCUCAACAAGCCUUUUGACAGUACUAAACCUAUACUCUGCUUCAAUUUAGGAAAAGGGGAAAGGGUCAUUUUAGAGGUAGUACACCUGUAGUACUAGUAUGAUUGACUAUAACACUAAUGAGCUUCAGAACAUCUACAAAUACUUGUUUAUUUUCUUAUUUACCUGAACCCUGGUGUCCAUUAUUUUGUUCAGUCCUGGACUGUUCAACAUUCCUCCAUUUCAGUUGCGGCCCGUAUUCUGAUAUAUACAGUUCGACAUUCCAAAUAUCAAAAUGUUGUUUUCUAACCUCAUCCACAAACACUGCAUAGUGCUGUGCCUAGUCAAGCAUAGACUAACCUGGAACAUGCCACAAACCAUG
rnacentral:lncRNA from 1 species